CGGGACGAGCGAGGGAGUUCGACCGGAGUAGCCGACUUUGGCGUGAAGCUGGGAGUACGUGGUUUCCGCCCGGGCCGACGUCGACGGUCGGGCUGAGAGGCUGGAAGGUCGCAGGACCUGACAGCGACCUCUGGAACCUGAUCCGGACCAUACCGGCGCAGGGAGCCCGUCUCGCAGGUUA
rnacentral:ncRNA from 1 species